rnacentral:lncRNA from 1 species
UUAGUUUCUCACAGGCUAUAAUCAAAGUAAAUAGGUUUAACUGGUCUAACAACCAAAGCUCACGUGCUCUGUGACGCCCCAACUUCCCAGGGGGUCACCCAUCCUAGGACUACUCCCAUCCUAGCACGCUUAACUCUCUUAACCUCUUGGGCCUUGCCACCACCCAAAAUGCUUAAGCCGGGUUAAGAGUUUAGCCCUAUUUUAUCUCAUAUAUAGGACUAUCUGGGGUCUCACAUGCUCUCGACACAAUCUGAUGCAAAAUACAGAAAUCUGGGUCCACCGUCAACUGCGACGGCACCCAACAAUCCGGAACAGUUUACAUACUACAAAAAAAUAAAAUCGGCAUCUCAGCUCGAGCGUAAACUCAUUCUACACUAAUCUGAGUAUCUACCAUAUACAAAAAGUGGCUAUACAAACAGUCCACAGCUCCUAAAGCUAAAUCUGUGAUAGUGUAGGAUCUAAUAGUUUU